rnacentral:lncRNA from 1 species
AGUGAGACGUUUUUGUUUUGUGCAGAGGUCGAUAGGCAACCACUGGAGGUUUUUAAGAAGGGGAGUGACAUGCCCAGAGUGUUUCUGCAGGAAGAUGAGCCAGGCAGCGGAAUGAAGAAUAGACUGGAGUCGGGCGAGAGAGGAGGAAGGGAGAUCAGAGAGAAGGCUGACACAGUAAUCUAACCGGGAUAGUACCAGAGCCCGUAGCAGUAAGGUAGCCGUUUGGGUGGAGAGGAAAGGACGCAUCUUGGCGAUAUUAUAAAGGUGAGACCGGUAGGCUUUGGUGACGGAUUGGAUUUGCCUUGGUCCCAACACUCCUUUGUGUAGGAAGAAUCACCACCAGUUGGUGCUGAGGUUCUCAGUGGCAUAUAAGGGUUCCACAUCUAACAUUGAACCUCAGGAGUUGCGGGUGGGGGAAGAGCUUAGUUUGUGCUGUUUGUUUUGUGUUGACAUCUCUGAACCUUGCACCGUUGUGUUUGUUAGAUGCCGCCAGUCUCCAAUCUCCCUCCAGGAAGCUGGCUUUUCCCCUGGUGGAUGUGUUCUCCCCAGGGAAUCCAUUGCUCUCCAAGGAAUGGGCAAUGGGUAGCAAAACAGGACCAGACAGGAUGCCCAGCCGUGCAUCGGACUCCUGUGAACAAACCCGGGAGGAGGCAGCGGAAGGGACCAGGAAGGAUGGUAGCCUCUCGCCUGGGUCCCCAUCCAAGCUGUCUGCUCCAUCACCUCCUGGUUCCCCACCCAGCUGGUCCGCUCCAUCGCCACCUGGGUCCCCAUCCAGACACUUUUCUCCAUCACCACCUGGGUGCCCACCCAGCUUGUCCACUCCAUCACCCCCUGGGUCCCCACCCAGGCAGAAGGCUCCAUCACCCCCCGGGUCCCCACCCGGCCAAUUCUGUCCAUCGCCUCCCGGGUCUCCACCCAGGCAGCGGGCUCCAUCACCCCCCGGUUCCCCAUCCAGGGAGUCCUCUCCAUCACCGCCUGGAUCCCCACCCACCCAAUUCCCUAUGUCAACCACGCAGCCCCCUGGAUCGCCACCUCUCCGGUCCCCUUCGCCCCCUACCCAGAAGCCUAUGCAGUCCCCAACAUCUCCUGCACAGCUGCAUACAUCCACGUCCCGGUGGCACCCGGUGGCACAGGCCCAGCCUCCCGGAUCUCCACCUCUACAGUCCCCUACAACCUCCGACCAGCUGCCCGGCUCACCACCCCUUGAUUUUCCUGGAUCGGCACCCAUGCAUUCCCCUGGCUCACCUCCAAUCUUGUCAGCGGUCGCAUCGUCUGCUCCACAGCCUCCCCUGGAGCCUCCGGUCACGUGCUCUCCCCAAGCCUCAGCUGCCCCUCAGCCCCGGAGGAUCUCCGUGUUCCUGGUCGGUCUGAAGAAGGCCAUCUCCAAGCCCUUUGUCACACUUCUGGACUCCCGGCAUUUCUCUGAGGACCCAAACCAGGCUAUAAAGUUCUUCCAAAGGCCCAGCCAAAAUCCCAGUGACAGCGGGAGCAGUUUGCCAGGACAUCAGAGAUCUAUGGGAACAAACAGAAGACAACAGUAACAGCCAAGGCCAAAAUGAAUCCUGAAGAAGACAAGGCGUCCUUUCCUGGCUCCUAACCUCGGCAUGGCUUUGGGUCCCGGGACCGACAGCUCCUCCCGCAGUGUGGACCCCCAUUCUGUGGACUCCCAACUUCUGCGAGUUGACACUUUAGUUACCCUGAGGCCUCAAGCAAACCUCUGGGGCAGAUGGGGCUGCAUCUCAGUUGCAGGAUGGUUAACUGUUUGCCAGGCAAGCCAGGGAUCUCGGAUGACACCAGUUCCUUGGCUUUGUAACCAAGAGAUUGGCUUUUUUUAACUUCCUAAGGAAAUCUUUUUAGAGGGACUAGAAAGGCCGGCCAGCGUGGCCAUUCCCUGGGAGCAGCACCGGCGAGAUUGGUGGGAAAAAGGAAAAGGGGGGCAGGAGCGGAAGGAGUUCUCUGACCCCUUCAGCCAGGCGCUACCAGGCACCUCUGCCACCGCACCAGGCUUGGCCACUCCCAGACACUCUCAACGCUCAGGGGCCCUUCAGGACUGAGUAAGCCCAGUUCUUGCACUGCCUUGUUCCCCUUCGUGGUGAUACCUCCUUGUUUUCUGCACUAUUGAGGUGGAGGAGGAGGCUGGGAAGAAAAAGGACCAAACCAAUAAGUUGUCUUUUCCCUAGCAGACUCACACUCCCACAUAUCCCAGCUUGUAGCAUGGUGGCUGGGAUGGGCGAAAGGAAAACUUCCUAGACACCCAGCAUAUCCCUGCUCUGGCCAGAGAGACUGGGGCAGACAUUACCCCUUCAACCAAGCCCUACAGGUUCAACCAUCCCUUCCCUUAUCUCCCACUUCCACUCCUUGCUGAGUGCCCCCGAUGCUACACUGGCAAAGCAAGGUCCCACCCAGCCAACCCAUCAAGCCCCACCCUCCCUUGAAAAUCUCUCUGGGAUCUCCAGAAGACUCUCUGGGGAUUUCAAGAGACAAUCUCUGGAAUCUCCUGGAGUCUCUCUGCAGGCUCUGGGAGUCUCUCUGGGGUGUCUGGGAGUCGCUCUAGGAUUUUCUGAGUCUCUCUGGGAUUUUCUGAGUCUGGUGUCUAUGGGAGCCCCUCUGGGGUCUCCGGAAGACUCUCUGGAGUCACUGGGAGUCCCUCUGGGGUCUCUGGGAGUCUCUCUAGAGUCUUCAGGAGUCUCUGUGAGAUCCUUGGGAAUCUCUCUGAAUUCUCCUGCAAUCUCUCUGCAGACAUCCACUAGCCCCAGAACCCCAGAGACCAGCCCCUGCACGCCAGGAGCAUUUGCUUAGCAAAUCACCUAACGUAACGUUAGAGCAAGUCAGAUGAAGGAAAACUACUGACUGCAAGGGUUGAGGACAGAGAGUCCCAUGGGGUCCUCAUUUGCAUGUGCAAAUUCUAGAAUGAACGCAGGGUAUGGAGGGAGAGAAGAGAAAGGUAGAGAAGAGGAAGAUAGAGAAAGUUGGAGGGCAAAAACAAUUUAAAGCAUGCAGACCUCCCCUGGGGGUUCCCCAGGGCAAAAUUCUCCCUCCUCACUUACCUCCAUGGACUCCAGUCUCUCCCCAGCACUAACAGGGCUAUAUUCAGCCUGGUCACUGGUAGCGGCUGUGCUCGGUAGGCAAGGGUUUAGGGGAUGCAGGGGCGGGGUUGGGGGAGCAGACAAUGUGGUCCAUCCAGCUGGGGGAGAAACUGUAAGCUCCUUGUGGGCAGGGAACGUGACUAACAAUUCUGUUGCACGGUACUUUCCCAAGUGCUUAGUACAGUGCUCUGCACACAGUAAGCAUUCAAUAAAUAUCAUUGAUUGGUUGAGCUUUGGGUGUCUUCCAAAUGCGGAGGGGCUGAGAAAGUUAGUCCUUGGGUCCAAAGGUUAAAGCCACACUGUAAAGAAGUCUUUAAAUGAGGCCUAUUUCAAAUGAGUCAUCCUACAGUAUUCAAGUACACUUUAAAGAUCUCUGAGGGGAAUGAUAUUUGCACUGGUUAUCUUCAGCUCACCUUCAUUGAGUUAGUUGAGUGAAACUGCAAUAUACUGAAUUUUAUAGUCCUCUUGUCUAGUUAUAAUUUAAAUCACCAAUCAUCCUAAAAACUGAUGACAUCAUAUGGGGUAAUAAGAAAUGUAAGGCAAGGGAAAACAGAAAGCUUCCAUCUUGAAAGUCUUGAAGUUGAUGACCGUCAGCCUUCAAAUUAGGGAGCAGCGCUGAUUAGCUCAUUGUGGGCAGCGAAUGUGUCUGCUUAUUGUUAUAUCGCACUCUCCCAAGCACUUAGUACAGUGCUUUGAACACAAUAAUUUUUAAUAAAUAAGAUUGAAUGGAAGAAAUCGCCCAUUAGAUUGCUUUGGUCCUAAUCACUGUUCACUCUGUGUGUUUUCGGCCUAAGAAUUUCUUGACUCCUUAAACCAACAGUCAGUGGCAUCAGCUCCUCUCACCUAAUAACUGUGGUAUUAGUUCGGCUCUUACUUUGUGCCAAGCAUAGCAGUAAACUCUCUAAUCCUGUCUCCACCACUUAUCUGCUGAGUGACAUUGGGUAAGUCCUUUAACUACUCUGUGCCACAGUUACCUCAUCUGUAAAAUGGGAAUUAAGACUUUGAACCCCAUGUGGGAUGUGGACUGUGUCCAACUUGAUUAGCUUGUAAUAAUAAUAAUAAUAAUGAUGGCAUUUGUUAAGCACUCACUAUGCGCCAAGCACUGUUCUAAGCACCGGAGUAGAUACCAGGUAAUCAGGUUGUCCCGCGUGAGGCUCACAGUCUUAAUCCCCAUUUUACAGAUGAGGAAACUGAGGCGCAGAGAAGUUAAGUGACUUGCCCAAAGUCACAUAGCUGACAAGUGGCAGAACUGGGAUUAGAACCCAUGACCUCUGACUCCCAAACCUGGGUUCCUUCCACUAAGCCAUGCCGGUUCUUGUAUCUACCCCAGUGCUUAGUACAGUGCCUGGCACAUAGUAAGUGCUUAACAAAUAUUAAAAAAGGGUGCUGGGGUAGAUAUAAGAUAAUCAGGUGGGACAAAGUAACCAUUCAUUCGUACUUAUUGAGCGCUUACUGUGUCCAGAUAACUGUACUAAGCUCUUGGGAAAGUACAAUACAACAAUAAAAAGACAUAUUCCCUGCCCGCAAAGAGCAUGCAGUCUAGAGAGACAAAAAGACAUAAUAUAAAUAAAUUACAGAUAUGCACAUACAUGCUGAAGGGCUGGGUAGAG